rnacentral:rRNA from 1 species
AUUGAACGCUGGCGGCAGGCUUAACACAUGCAAGUCGAGCGGAGAGAGGUAGCUUGCUACUGAUCUUAGCGGCGGACGGGUGAGUAAUGCUUAGGAAUCUGCCUAUUAGUGGGGGACAACAUUUCGAAAGGAAUGCUAAUACCGCAUACGUCCUACGGGAGAAAGCAGGGGAUCUUCGGACCUUGCGCUAAUAGAUGAGCCUAAGUCGGAUUAGCUAGUUGGUGGGGUAAAGGCCUACCAAGGCGACGAUCUGUAGCGGGUCUGAGAGGAUGAUCCGCCACACUGGGACUGAGACACGGCCCAGACUCCUACGGGAGGCAGCAGUGGGGAAUAUUGGACAAUGGGCGCAAGCCUGAUCCAGCCAUGCCGCGUGUGUGAAGAAGGCCUUAUGGUUGUAAAGCACUUUAAGCGAGGAGGAGGCUACUUUAGUUAAUACCUAGAGAUAGUGGACGUUACUCGCAGAAUAAGCACCGGCUAACUCUGUGCCAGCAGCCGCGGUAAUACAGAGGGUGCAAGCGUUAAUCGGAUUUACUGGGCGUAAAGCGCGCGUAGGCGGCUAAUUAAGUCAAAUGUGAAAUCCCCGAGCUUAACUUGGGAAUUGCAUUCGAUACUGGUUAGCUAGAGUGUGGGAGAGGAUGGUAGAAUUCCAGGUGUAGCGGUGAAAUGCGUAGAGAUCUGGAGGAAUACCGAUGGCGAAGGCAGCCAUCUGGCCUAACACUGACGCUGAGGUGCGAAAGCAUGGGGAGCAAACAGGAUUAGAUACCCUGGUAGUCCAUGCCGUAAACGAUGUCUACUAGCCGUUGGGGCCUUUGAGGCUUUAGUGGCGCAGCUAACGCGAUAAGUAGACCGCCUGGGGAGUACGGUCGCAAGACUAAAACUCAAAUGAAUUGACGGGGGCCCGCACAAGCGGUGGAGCAUGUGGUUUAAUUCGAUGCAACGCGAAGAACCUUACCUGGCCUUGACAUAGUAAGAACUUUCCAGAGAUGGAUUGGUGCCUUCGGGAACUUACAUACAGGUGCUGCAUGGCUGUCGUCAGCUCGUGUCGUGAGAUGUUGGGUUAAGUCCCGCAACGAGCGCAACCCUUUUCCUUAUUUGCCAGCGAGUAAUGUCGGGAACUUUAAGGAUACUGCCAGUGACAAACUGGAGGAAGGCGGGGACGACGUCAAGUCAUCAUGGCCCUUACGGCCAGGGCUACACACGUGCUACAAUGGUCGGUACAAAGGGUUGCUACCUAGCGAUAGGAUGCUAAUCUCAAAAAGCCGAUCGUAGUCCGGAUUGGAGUCUGCAACUCGACUCCAUGAAGUCGGAAUCGCUAGUAAUCGCGGAUCAGAAUGCCGCGGUGAAUACGUUCCCGGGCCUUGUACACACCGCCCGUCACACCAUGGGAGUUUGUUGCACCAGAAGUAGGUAGUCUAACCGCAAGGAGGACGCUUACCACGGUGUGGCCGAUGACUGGGGUGAAGUCGUAACAAGGUAGCCGUAGGGGAACCUGCGGCUGGAUCACCUCCUUAACGAAAGAUUGACGAUUGGUAAGAAUCCACAACAAGUUGUUCUUCAUAGAUGUAUCUGAGGGUCUGUAGCUCAGUUGGUUAGAGCACACGCUUGAUAAGCGUGGGGUCACAAGUUCAAGUCUUGUCAGACCCACCAUGACUUUGACUGGUUGAAGUUAUAGAUAAAAAGAUACAUGACUGAUGAUGUAAGCUGGGGACUUAGCUUAGUUGGUAGAGCGCCUGCUUUGCACGCAGGAGGUCAGGAGUUCGACUCUCCUAGUCUCCACCAGAACUUAAGAGAAGUUCGGAUUACAGAAAUUAGUAAAUAGAGAUUGUGAGAUCUUGGUUUAUUAACUUCUGUGAUUUAAGUAUCACGGUAUUAAGCAUGACCUGACGAAGGCGUGUUUAUUCAUUAACAGAUUGGCAAAAUUGAGUCUGAAAUAAAUUGUUCACUCAAGAGUUUAGAUUAAGCAAUUAAUCUGAAUGAAUUGAGAACUAGCAAAUUAACUGAAUCAAGCGUUUUGGUAUAUGAAUUUAGAUUGAAGCUGUACAGUGUUUAAAUACACAGUACUUCAAACUGUAAGAGAUUGAUGAGAAAUCAUUGGUCAUGUCUUAUUACUCCUUGUAGGUAAUAACGACUGUUUGGGGUUGUAUAGUCAAGUAAUUAAGUGCAUGUGGUGGAUGCCUUGGCAGUCAGAGGCGAUGAAAGACGUAAUAGCCUGCGAUAAGCUCCGGGGAGGCGGCAAAUAUCCUUUGAUCCGGAG